UAUGAAUUGAGCAGAAGGAAACAAAGUUCUGCAGAUAAACACCAAUGAAACAAAAAACCACGAAUAAGAAAAAUGACAGAAAAGGAGAACCUUCCCAGAAUCCUCCUGCCAGUGAACGGUCACCAGAGCAAGAGCAUGGAGUCCCUGGGUUUUGAACUGUGAGAUAAGGAAGAUGAUGAAAACCUCCCUAGCAGCCAGCCAGGUACUAUUCUAGAUUGUCUUGUGAUAUUUACAAUCUAGGAGAAGGCAGGAGAGAGAACUAAGAACAGAGAGCAUGUUCUGAGAUGUCUGCUGUGUUUGCAGAAACUCCUGGAGGGCAGAGCCAUGCCUGCCAUUUUCAUCAUUGCAUUACCACCACCCAGCACAGUGCCUGGUACAAAAGAGUUGCUCAAUAAAUAAAUCAGGAUGAAUGGACAAAUACACGGAUAGGCACUUUGAACUACAGAUGAGCUUAAAUACUUUGUGUUUUUCUUAGUCAAACAUGUGCAAUUAAGCAUGUGAUAAAUUAUAUGAUGACCACAC
rnacentral:lncRNA from 1 species